rnacentral:lncRNA from 1 species
AAAAGACAACAGCUCAACCAAAAGCAAAGGUGAUUUACCUAAUGAGCGGUUUCCGUUGUGUUGGAGGCGCUGGGGGAUUCACAAUAGGUGGUGGUGCCAUAAGUUCAGCAGGCUUGGGCAGGAAACAGAAAAUAUAAGAUACAGGCAAUAUCUGAGAUAAAACAGCAAUAUCGUUUCCAGCUUAUUUACCAUGCACCAUACCAAAAAAAUGAAAAAGUAUAUGCCAAGCAAAACCAACAAAAGUCAGAAGCAACAAGAAAAGUGGGUUUUCAAGAUCUGCCAGUAACGUCCCAAAAACUGCCUGUACAACUUUUAUUAGGGGAAAUAAGCAGGACAGCAUCCACAAACAAUUAUUUUAAGCUAGAAACAUUUAAGAUCAACUCAAAAGAAGAAAAAUGUGUACCACCACUGAAAAUUCAUACCAAAUAACCUCUCACAUGAAUGACAGCAUAAUAAUUUUAACUUGAAUAUUACCAAGAAAGGUU